GGGUCUCGAGCACGGAAUUGCUGAAGUUGUGAAGGUUGAUGCUGUGAAUGCGCUCGGUCAUCCCCUUGCAACUGAUGUCACCUGCAGCAUGUCAACGCAGACACAAAACAGGGCAUGGGUCAGAUCUAGCUGGUUGCAUUCCUAAUACCUAGGUUUCAGAGUAAAAAUAUAGAGUCAGCUUGUGAUGGCAUUCCCUCGAAACAUGGAAGGAAUUGCAGUAAUGAAAGUCAUCAUGUAUUCUAAGAGACUGUUCUGCGAGAGCACAACACAGACGGGGCUAAAGCAGGGAUUGUCUAAGCCCAGUGUGGAGGAAUCAUCAAGGAUUUCAGCACGUUUUUUUAGCCAUUGUGAGAAGCAAAAGUGCUCAGGAGUUAAGAGAAGCAGACGUCCGAAAUUAUCUCCAUGCAUUACCAAAAACCGUGGGCACCACGGCACGGGGAAAACUUACCAGGUACAAUGAGCCAGUGACUGUUACUGAAUUUCUUAAGAUUACACUUUUCCCAACUACUGCAGACUGCUUCAGAAUAGAAGAAGACAACUCUCAUGCCAUCAAGCCGACGGACUUUCAAAAAAAUAAAAGAUGCAUUUCUUUACUUGGCCCAUGAGAAGUAAAAGCAGGCACUGGCAUUCUGCACAGAUGAAAUACUUCCUACGACAGAAAUACAUGCUCACUUGUGGACUUCUCUGUAAUCUGUAGGCAACAUAAGCUCCUGAUUUCUAGGUCUGGAUCUGGGUUCUCUGUAGCACAGGAAGGUCUGUACUUCUCCUACAUAAAUGCCUUGCAUGGCGGGAACUAAAUCAACUACACAGACCCAUACAUCCAGAGAGCAGAGGUGAGCUGGAUACAAGUGGCUUAGAGAUGUGGUGGAAGGAGGCCAGAGCUCCAAGGGAAGGGCAGCAAGGAGACAACAGCAUGGGUUGCAGCUCAGACAACAGGUAAAUAAAACCAAGCAAAGCUGCUGGUCACAGAUUUGACCAGGGUGGCAAGAAAUGACAACCUACCAUGAGAUUCAACAGUGGCACGGAAGGAUGAUGAGAAGCAAACAGAUUAGGAGAAGCUGCCACCACCGUACAUAGAGGCACAGAUGACCAAGCAGAACAGCACCAGUCCCUGCAAGGUGUGCUCAGAUACAGCUCGGCACAGCCAUCUGGCCAGGAGGGAAUGAUAAUGCACAUGGUGUGCAUUGCAGCCGGGAAGUUGAGAACCACUGUGGGCACCUCAGGACUGAGUCUGGUUACCCUGCUGAUCCAAGAAAUGAAGCCAUCUAAAAUUUUGCCUGCUUUCACAAUUUUCUGUGUGUGUGUGUGUGUGUGUGUAUUAAACAAAGUGAACUAAGAAGCCUUUUAUUGGAGACAUAAUGUACUCACAGUAGUUUCAAAAUCAAUGGUGUCACUCUUCAGGUAAAUUACUCCAAGGCUUGGGCCUAGUGCAGAUGUUCAUUGG
rnacentral:lncRNA from 1 species